rnacentral:rRNA from 1 species
CGAGGCAAAGCCGCGAGGCAGAGCGAAUCGCUAAAAGCCGUCCCAGUUCGGAUUGCAGGCUGCAACCCGCCUGCAUGAAGUUGGAAUCGCUAGUAAUCGCGGAUCAGCAUGCCGCGGUGAAUACGUUCCCGGGCCUUGUACACGCCGCCCGUCACACCAUGAGAGUCGGGAACACCCGAAGUCCGUAGCCUGACCGCAAGGGGGGCGCAGCCGAAGGUGGGUUCGAUAAUUGGGGUGAAGUCGUAACAAGGUAGC